CUUACGUUUGAGUCCCGCGAGCACGCACUGACAUGUACCUGUAAGUAGUGCGUGCUCGGAGUCAUGUUUGAACCCCGUUUGAGCGUGCGUGCUCCGAGUCACGUGAUCUUCGUUUUGCGAACAAUAGACAAGCGUCCGGGGGUACUCUGACCCAGUUCUCCCGCCUGAUACACACAAAAUGCCGCUAGUCUAAGAAGAGUUUUUCCCGAGGAUAAUGUUGGUGCACGUAGCCGGGCCAGUAGUUUCGCCUCAAGGUAUCUGGAAGACGAGGAACCACCCCAGCUGACCCAGUUCAGCAGCGGAGGGAUAUGGAUGUACAUGUAUAUCAGAAAAGACAACCGCCGAACUUAUCAGUUGGAGACGAAACGCGGCUCGAAGAGGUCAUGGCUUCGGUAGAAGUCAGAUCAAACCGCCGUGGUCUCCAGGGCUCCAUCGACUGCCUUGCUGAUGGCAGGACUUUACCGGUCAGUGUGAUGUGAGUGAGUGCGCCUGAUGAAAGCGCAGACAUAGGGAUGUAAUCAGUGCAGACUUGUUGGAAUAUAUCAAUCAGCCAAGGUGAUCAAGUUGAGAUGAGUGUGUGUUUGUUCUCCUAAGAGCGACCGCUAUUUUCAGUAUCAGUGUAUCCGUUAAGUAUUUGAAACGGGCGAUGUGAUCUCUGUAUUUUCUCUCGAUCC